CCCCCCAACCUGCCAUUUCUUAGUCCCUUCUUCCAACGCGCAUAAACCGCCUUCAGAGACGAACAAUUCUGGUGCAACUUUGCAGCUCUGAGACGCAGGGUGCUGUCUGUCCAUGUGUGGACACCUUUAAUGGCACGAGAAUACGCUGCCUGUGAGUAAGCAAGAGUUUUCUUUUUGUAGUAGAGUUUUUGAUGACAAUUUACAUUCCAGAAAAAUAGACCCUUUAUUUUUUUUAGUUUAGGGAAUAAUAUAAACGUGUUUUUAUAAAGUGGUCCUUUUCCAACUGUUAAUGAAAUGAAGUUAUCUCAACAAUUGCUAAUUAAUUUGCUAAAUGGUCAUUAGUGGAGAGGAUAAAGUCCGGCACACUUUUUGGAAAUAAAAUGUCCCUAGUUUUCAAGGUUCUAGCAUAAUGAAUUUGUACCCUAAAGAGUGUAUUGUCCUUGUGUAAAGGAAGAAUGUUAGUUAGCCCUAUUCUUUUUCAUUUUACUUAUAAUGCAUGCUUCCUCACACCAGCCCUGAUAUUAUUUCAUUCCACAUUGCAAAUUUGAAUAUGAUUUAACAAUUAUAAUUAAAAUGCCUCAACCCAAUACAGGUGUUUAGUCACUAUGCAGUACAGUAAAUGAAAACAUACAACUGCUCAAUUGAAAAGAACGGGGCGUAUUAGGUGUUAAUGAAUCCAUAUCAUGCUGUUCUUACUCAUUGAUUUGUGUCAUCAGAACACAAACUUCAUUCUCAGGUCGUGAAAACAGAGAACACAAAGAGUAGAUGACACUCUUUUUAGAGUUUGGUUAAUUUAAUUUAUUUAAAAAAUAUUAGCAAUUUAAUAAUAUGUUUUUUUUAAGCCAUCAUCCUUUGAAACGGUACACAAAAUGGUGCAAAUGUGAUUUGUAUAUCUUCAAGGUGUAAUUAUAUUUUGUGCUCCAAAUAAAACAAAUAAGUAAACGUC